AGUGAUUCUGGCCAGCUGGUAUCUAUGCCUUGUGUAAUCUCCUUCCCUUGAGUGAGAACUGGAUGUAAAGACUCGAUUCUCUUCUGAAGAAGCCAAGAGCCAUGUUUUAAGCUGUCCUCAUGGAAAGGUCUACAUGGCAAGAAACUGAGAGAGAACUUCAGUCCAACAAGCCCAAGGACCUGAAUCCUGCCAACAGGCCCAUGAAUGUGCUUGGAAAUGGAUCCUCCUCUAACUGAGCCUUGAGAUAAGUUUCAGUUCUGGCAGACACCUUGACUGUAGCCUUAUGAAAAACCCUGAGCCAGAGGACCUAGCCAAGUCACACCUAGAUUUCUGACCCACAGAACAUGUGAGAUAAAUUUUAUUGCUUUAAGCUGCUCAAUUCAGGAAUCAUUUGGAAUGCAACAAUAAGCAAAUGAUAUGGGCACCAUAUUAGCUGUGUGGUCUUGGGCUAAUAACUUCUGUGCCUCAGUUUCACAGCUAUGAAAUAGGGAUAAUAAUAAUGAUAUAUCCUGUGAUAUCUGGAGAGGAUAAUAGAAGUUAAUGCAUAAAAGGAUUAAAAUAGUAAGUGCUCAGUAAA